GACGUAGGGCGCGAGCGUUGUCCGGAUUUAUUGGGCGUAAAGAGCUCGUAGGCGGCUCGUUGCGUCGGCUGUGAAAACCCGCAGCUCAACUGUGGCUUGCAGCUGAUACGGGCGGGCUGGAGUUCGGUAGGGGAGACUGGAAUUCCUGGUGUAGCGGUGAAAUGCGCAGAUAUCAGGAGGAACACCGGUGGCGAAGGCGGGUCUCUGGGCCGAUACUGACGCUGAGGAGCGAAAGCGUGGGGAGCGAACAGG
rnacentral:rRNA from 1 species